rnacentral:lncRNA from 1 species
AAAUUUUUUCGUAUAAAGUGAUCAAAAUAAUAUCUAUUUAUUACAUACAAAGGAGGAAAAAUAUGGCUCAAAUUCCAUAUCAUUUUUAUGUUUUGAUCAUAUUUCUUUCUCUAUUUCUUGUUAAAACCACUAGUAGUAGUCGUAGUAGUAAGUCAUUUAACACACCAUUUACAAAUAUCUAAUGUAUCUUAUAUGAAAUAUUUCAUCACUUUUUGGUAACAAUUCUUUUGUUCUUUUCAGACGUUAUAAAUACCAGUAUUCCCUGCAAUAUGCCCUAUGAUUGUCGCGAAAUUACUUGUAUUGCUCCUAAAGUUCCGUGGUGUGUUAAUUGUUAUUGUACAUGCGUUUAGGAUCAAAAUAAUUUUAUAUUGUUCGUUUUCGGGUAACCCCUUAAUUGAAGAGUCACUUUGCAACAUAGAGGUACUUGAUUCGAAACUUGGCAUUAGCAAAAAAAAAAAAAUUAUAUUGUUUGUAACUAUAUAAUUUUAUUAAUACAUUGUAAUAUUGGUACUCUUAUAUAUAAUUUUUACACACUUUUAUUUAUAUUUCUUGACCUUCCAAUAUUGGUUUAAUUAAGAUUGCAAUAAUAAAGAUUAGGUUUGGUUUAGUUAUAUUAGAUUUGGGUAGUAUAUAUGAAAUUAUAGGUUCAACCUCAUUGUCUCAAAUCUGUAACAAAAAAUAUGUGGUUGUGUCACAGUUAAGUUCUCUGUUUGGAGAAGGGUCUGUUUGUAAAAUAAAAUUAAAAAAUGUGCAAUAAAUUUGUUAUUGUCAUUUGGAGGACCUUUGUUGAAUAAAUUAAAAGUGUGCCAUAAAUUUGUUUUGUCUUAAGCAAAUCAUGUUAUGAAUUUAUUUAAACUAGUGUAUGAGGCCGUGCUAAAGUACGAAAAAUAAAGGAGGUUUGGGUAUUAAGAAUCUUGAUUUGUUCAAUCAAGCUUUACUAUGCAAAUGGAAGUGGAGAGGACUUGGUGAAGAUAACAUUUUGUGGUGCAAGUUACUGGUGUAUAGAUAUGGGUCAAUGGCUGGAAAUUUUCUUCUGGAUGUCAACAAGAAUGUUAGAGCUCAAUCCAUUUGGUGGCGCGACAUCUUAAGGAUAGGAGGUGAAGAGAGCGNNNNNNNNNNNNNNNNNNNNNNNNNNNNNNNNNNNNGCAGAUAUUAGGCCUAAGAAAGAAUGCUUGGAUCAUCGAAAAUGGCUCAUGAACCAUGCCGGUAUGUUUACGGUAAAAUCAGCAUAUUGUUUCUUGCAAAAUCGUGAUUCAUUUUUGACUAUUAAUAGUAAUGUGGUGGAUGCGCUGCAGGAUUUAUGGGUGAACGAUGUACCGUCUAAAGUGAACAUAUUUGGAUGGAGAUUGUUAUUAGCACGACUUCCGACCCAUAUGGCUUUGGUAAGAAAAGGAAUUAUCAAUAAUCCAUGUGAGUUUUGUUGCGUGUUUUGCUUUAGAGAAGAAGAAGAAAUAGAUCAUUUAUUUUUUAAUUGUUCUGUCUCAAUUCAAGUUUGGAAGAAAAUUUAUAAGUGGAUGGCUGUGGAUUUCAUCCCCUUUGAGGAAGGGUGGAAGCACUUCAUGUCUUUUGGUGAUUUGGUGACGAGUAAGAGACUUGCUAAAACCCGUCAUGUCAUUUGGUUAGCAACUACUUGGAGCAUAUGGCGUACUCAGAAUAAUAUUGUGUUUCGAGGAGAUGUGUUUAAUUUGGAUGCUUUGAUAGAUCAAAUUAUCUUUAUUUCUUGGUUUUGGUUUAUAGGUCGUUAGGGAGUUAAUACUUCUUUUGUAUUUUCUGAUUGGUGUAACGAUCUGUUAGUUUGCAUUGAUAGCAUCUAAUGGUUUUCGUUUGAAUUGUAAGGGUUGAGUGCACCUUAUACUCCUUAUAAUUCAAUUUUUGCUUAUAAAAAAAAAGUACGAAAAAUAAAAUAACUAUAAAAUUUAAAGUCAAUAUGCAUAAGUAUAUACUCCCUCCGGUCUUUAUUAUAAGAAACACUUUGACAAAAUCACACAGACCAAGGAUGGUAAAUUUUCUCAUUAAUGAUUCUAACAUUUUAUGUUAUAUUCCAAAACUAACCUUUGACUAGCAUGAGAAAUAGGCCUCUCUAAUUAAUGCACUAGCAUUAUAAUGAAUUAUUUGAUUAUAUUUAAUAAGGGUACAAAUGGAAUUGUGUCAAAGUAUUUCUUAUAAAAUGGACCAAAUAAAAAUUUCAAAGUGUUUCUUAUAAAAAGGAUCGGAGGGAGUAUUUAGGUUUUAUUGACAUAUAAGUUAGCAUAAAUAAACUAUAAAGUUAACAGUAAUAUUCAAUGUUUUAAAAAUUCAACCAUACGAUUCAACUAGUUUGAUGGAGAACUGGUCUGGAUGGAUAACUUCAAAAAAUUGAAGGUUUGUAGAAACCCGGAAAAAAUCGUCAUAACAGGUCUGAAUUUUACUUGGCUUACUUUUUUAACUAGUUAUUCCGUUCAUAAUUUUCUAACAAUAUAUAAUUUAAGCUUGAUUAAAGAGGCUUAAAUGUUGUGAAAAUGAAAAUAGCAAUUAAAGAAUUGUGUUGGGAUUAUAUAUUACUCCUACUUAAUCACUUAAUACAACUUAUGUCAUCGAUUAUAUUAUAUGUUAUUGUGUUCGAAUUUGUUUACACGUAUUACUCAUCAUAUGUUGUUGUGUUCGAAAAACGGCGAGAGUUCCGUUAUACCUAUUAACAUUUGAUGUUUCGCUCGGUUAGUCAAUAUAAGGGCAUUACGACCCAAUAAUAUUAUUUGUAAUUAUGAAAUUAUAUAACCCUAUGUCUAGCAAUUAAAUUUCAUAACUGAGUUUAUUUCCAUAUCCCUUAAGUAGAAAAUCUAUGUCUUGCACAAUGGAAGUUAAACAUAUUCUAAAGAAAUUAUGGAAAUCACAUUAUGAAAAGCAAUGCAAUUCAUAAGCAUGUUAUGAUCCUUAGCCUAUUUCAAUCAUGAAUAAAAAAAUUGUCAUAAAAAAGAGUUUGAAUUUCGUGUUUUAUUGAUUGUUGAUUAUCAAAAAGUUUAACAAAAAUUUGGAUUGAAAAAGGGUAAAUUCUAAUAUGGACCACUUCAUCAAGUGGUCCAUGGUGGACCAGUCGUGAAUAACAUUAUAACGAAUACGAAUUUUACAAAAUUCACCAUUGGAUUAAAAGUUUAUAUCAUAUAGAUCAUCCAUAGAAAAAUUGAAAAUCAUUUGAUAUGUUAUUGAGACACAUCAAGAUUAACGGUUUAUUAAAUAACGUAAAUAUGGGUCUCAAUAACAUAUCAAAUUAUUUUAAAAAAAAUUUAAAAAAUUUAUGGAUGAUCUAUGCGAUAUAAACUUUCAAUCCAACAGUGAAUUUCAGAAAAUUCAUAUUCCGUAGAUCACUUAUCUACAGUGAACCACUUGUGAAGGUAGUCCAUCGUAGCAUUAGCCUUGAAAAAGGGAAAAUUUAAUUAAUAUUGAUUGUUAAUUGUUGAUUAAUGAUUAUCAAAGGUAUAACUUUUUUGUUUUCUUGAAACUUAAGACUUUGUACUAAUUACCUCGUAGCCAAUUGUAGAUUAUCAAAUCAUCUUUCCCUACAACCCGAAAGAUUUAUGCACCCAAAAAAAAUUAUUAAUUAAUAUUUGAGCAUUCCUUAAAUUGUUGCCUUUUCGUGAGAAUCAUACGUGCACUCUUUCAAUACAUAUAUAUGGAUCACGGUAAAACCAAGCUUAAAAAAUUUGAAUUUCUUUUUCAUUUGAUAUUAUAUUUUAUUUUUUUUAGUACGCUUAACAAGUGCUAUUUAGAAAUUAUUUAGCAUGACCCAUAAAUUUUAUAUAGAGGUUUAUUUAAGUACAAAACUUUUUUAAAAGGGGAUAUAUAAUUUUCAUCACUAUUAUUUAUCUUUUGAUUCAAGGUUGUCAUAACCAGACCGGACCGGCCAAUCGGACAGGGAACCGGUCAUGUAUGUUGUUCGGUUUGGCCUGAAAAAGGGCAGUAAACGUCGAACCAGCGAGGAACCUGGUCAAACCGGUGAACCGGUUGGUGCGGCUACUUAUUUAUGCGGCUACUUGCAUUGGAAAUCAUUAAUCUUAUUAUUAAAUAAGAGAACAUUUGACCCCACAAGCAUUUGCAAACACUUUGUUUUGCUGUACAUUUCAACAACACCUUACCCAAUUUAUUUAUAGUGAAGCUACCUCUCAAAUAUUUGCGAAAACAGCAAUGUGUGACUAAUAGUGUAGUGCAAAUGCAAUCUCUCCAUAUUAGACAAACAUCAUACAUACAAACCUCAAACUAUUUUUUUUAGAAAAAAUAAACCUUUGUCACAUUAAGAAGUGAACUUUUGUUAAAAUAGUUUUUUUUAGUCUCACUUUUUUAUGUUUCUAUUUCCCUUUUGAUAUUUUGCUUCUUUCUUUUUGUUAAUAGUUUUGAUAUUUUGCAUCUAAUUUUAAUAGUCAAUAAAUAUUAUAUUAUAUGUUUUGUAUGAUUUUAAUUUUAAUAGUCAAUGAAUAAUUUUUAGAACUUAGUUUAUUAUGUAAUUUCUAAUUUGGUUUGAAUUAGAAAUUGUAUGUCUAAUGUACUAAAGUUUUUAUUUUAUGUUGACGUUAUGACAUUUUAUCUUUUUAAUUUGUGAAACUAAGAAAUAUUGAGUAAUUAUUUAUAUAUUUUUAUUUAUAUAAUAAUUAAAAUAUAUAUUUAAUUAAAAAUGAUCAGACCCGAUUGAACCCCGAUCGGACUAAUUGAACCUUGAACCGGUAAACUCGCCGGUACGAUCACUAGUCUGAUUUUGAUUACUUUGUCUUAAUUUGUUUCCAUUGUCUAUUAAGAAAUGCCCAAAGAGAAAUAAAAAAUAUAUGUUAAGUGUGAUGAAUAGAGUGAACGAAAGAGACAAACAUGACACACCAAUGUGCCUUAGAGACAUUUAACAAUAAUUAUUUUUUUAUGAAUCGUUUCUUGCUUUAGUAAAAAAAAAAUGAAUGGCUUCUUGCAACAUCACAACCCUAAAAACUAUUUUAUUAAAGUUAACAAAACAUGAAAACUUUUCUUAUAAAGUGAUCUACAAUUUCAUAUUUAUUACAUACAAAAGGAGAAAAAAUAUGGCCCAAAUAAUUCCACAUUUUGUUUAUAUUGUGAUCAUAUUUCUUUCUCUAUUUCUUGUCCCAACCAAUAGUGGUAAGUUAUUUUUUAUAUCAUUUGUAAAUAUCUAAUUUAUCUUAUAUAAAAAUUUCAUCACAUUUUAGUAACAUUUUUUUUUUGUUCAUGUAGUCAUUAAAACUUCUAGUAUUCCCUGCAAUCUACCCAAUGAAUGUCCAGCAAUUUUGUGUACUCCUCCUCUAAUUCGGUGGUGCAUUGAUCACUUUUGUUCGUGUGUGUAAAUGUAACAAUUAAGUUGAAAAAUUAACUCUUGUUAUGAAUAAUAAUAUGUAAUGAAUGUCCAUUAUUGUGUAGGUUUUCUUGUCCCUUAAAUGUGUCCUAUAAAUAGGACCCCUUUGUUAAAAUGUGAUNN